AAAACAACAUGGCGUCGACUGUAUCUACCACAGAUACGAGGAAAGAUGACGAAAAGUAAAGAAAGACAAGGAAACCGCCUUCAAAAGUUACUAAAAAAGGAUCGAAACGAUGCUAUAUGCAUCUCACAGAUGUCCAGGGCGAAGACUUGCAGGACUUUACACGGAAACGGUGGGAAACUUACACAACCUGCGUUAGACAGUAGCUUUCUCCGGUUGCAGAAGGCUGUUGAGCUGAAGGAGGACACCAGCGUGCUUUUGCACAUUAAAGAAAAAGACUGUGUGGCCCUGGAGGUGCGGUACCACAGGACCUGUUACGCACAGUACACAAAGUUUUUGUCAAGGCCUAUGGAAACAAGUACUGCAACCCCAGAUGAAGCAACUGAAACACCAUUCACUGACAGCUACAAUUUCUUCUGUGAGACUGUCAUCCGUCAAAGGAUUAUAGUUGACCAGGAAGUGCUGCGAAUGGACAAGCUAAGAAAGACAUUUGUGGACAUAGUGAAGAAUCAAGAGGGUCUUGAUGCUUCAGAAUACAGGCAGGAUCUACUGAAGAGGCGGCUGACCGUGACUUCCCACAGCUCACUUUCCACUGCCCUGCCAAGAGAAACAUCAGUGAACUUGUUUUUGUUGAGACACUGUCAGCUGAUAGACUAUUACAAAAGAUACCUCCACAGUCAGGUACAUCUACUGAGUCCACUGAGGUAAGCCAAGCUGAAAGCCAAACUGAAAGUGACAGUGAACACAUGGCUAGCACAACAUCUGGACAGAAUACUACUGAUGUCACAAGGACACUGUACAGUGCAGGCUUGAUCUUAAAGAGGGUUCUCAGGGACUCUCCAGGUAUGACAUGCCCCUGGCCUCCCACCGCUGACAAUUUAAAUGUGUCUGAUGCUCAAUCUGUUGUGCCAGAAGAACUAUAUAAUCUAAUUGCAUGGAUUAU